rnacentral:lncRNA from 1 species
UGUGAGGUUGGGCUUGAUAGCUUAUCGGUGAGAGUAUCCCCUUUGGGUCAGCGGACCCAAGUGUGAUCCAUCAGUGGUAGAGUCAGUCUGCCGGUAUAGUUCAGAGUAUGUUGUGAGUAGAUGCCCUCCAGCUGACCUAGCGGUUCUAGAUUUGACUGUUUGACAUCAUUCUAGGGUUGGAUUGGUUCUUCUACUAGUGGUACUACCUAAGUCUGCAGAGACAAGGUAGUCAAGUUCAGAGGUCAGGAUGGAUCAGAGGU